AGCUGGAGGCCUGCAUAGAACAAAAACACAGGUCUUCCUGAGCAAGAGGGGCUUCUCCAGCAUAUGGCCUUUGGACUUCAUCUAUACCAUCCGCACUUCUGGGUCUCCAGCCUGCUGGCCCACACUACAGAUUUUGGACUUCCCAGCUUCCAUAAUCAUGUGCUUCCCAUUUCUACAGCCGGUUUACUGCGGUCUCCUCAUGAACAUGUUGUCAUCACGCCCAGUGUAACUGCUCCCUCCCUGCAGGAGUUUACUCUGCUACAUGGAUAAGCUAACAAAGGCUCAUCUGGAACUACAGGGUUACAUCUCUAGUGUCAUUGUAUGACACAGUGACUCAGAGAUGAUUUCCUCUUCAGAAAACAGAAGAAUUUUCUGACACAUUUAUCCAGAUUGGAUGAUAUGGAGAUGAACACCAGGACUAUUUUAGAAACUGCAUGUUGAAGACCACUGAGAUAUAAAACUUAGAAAAAAAAAGGUUCUGAAUCAAUGCCUUGUGAAGACAGUUGCACAGGGUACCACCAGGCUGAAAUCCAGGUGUUCACCAGGACUUUUCUUCACCUGGAGGCCCAGCUG
ensembl:lncRNA LINC02055 long intergenic non-protein coding RNA 2055